UGGAAACGAUUCCCCUAAAUCGGUCCUCUUCCUCACGAGUUCUGCAACCUCGCCACCGCCCCUAGUCCCGACCUCCUUCAUUGUUGUCCACCCACGCGCCUCCUCCACGUUGCCGUUUGUGCCUCCUCCCUGGUGCAGCCCUAGUCGGAUGCAGCAGAGGCGGAGACACAGGUCGUGCCGCCACAUCUGGAGAGAGUGCAGGGGCACAGGAUGUGGCUCACGUAUGGGCUACUCGGGCAAAUGCUCCGACCCCCAGCCAUGUCCAUCUGAACAACGUCUUUGCGUUCGUCACCAGCGGCAGGUUGAGCGACCUCUUCAGCUACCUAGCCUCUAUCACCGCGCAACCCGUCGCUAGGUUGGCUCUCCUGGACCCAACACUAAGGACCAAAAGGCCGAUAGGAAACAUGGAGGUUCCAGUGUAGCUCCGAACAUUAAAACUGAAGAGCCUAAUGGUGUUCUACAAAAAUAUGCAGAAGCACAAAUAGGAGUCAGGGAGCAGGCAAUCUCACAUUUUGUCCAAUUCACCCCAAUGGUACUGAUCCUCGCCUAAAGGUUAAGUGAGAUGGGGGCAUUGGUAUCGGUCUCACCAAAGCCGCUUGAUUGGGCCAGGACCCCAGGAUUAUUAUAUCCAGUGUAAGGUAUGACAUCCAACAUCCUUCACUACCACCACCUAUGCUCCCUUCUAUGUAUGUAUGUCAUUUACUCUUUGGCCUUUCUCUUAGUGCUAGACUAGCGUAUGUACCUAAUGAAUCACAUGAUACUUCAGCUGUUAGAUUUUUUGGCUCACAUAAUAAAUUCAAAUCUUUAAGUACAAUGCCUUUACAGAUGAGUUAGAUCAUUUGCUGGUUUAUUGUAUUCAUAUGUAGAACGAAAGAAUGAAUUUUCUUUUCAUAUGUAUUCCUUAGAAUCCAUUGCUCAUGUUAAAUACUAUCUGCAGUAACAUGUGCACAUUGAUUAUUAGCACUACCAUUUUCAAAUUUCACUCUUCAAAUUGUGGUCAUCUUUGUCUUCAUGUCCACUGGAGCUGGUGCAUCUGACUAAUGGCCAUGACAACAAGGUCACCAUCUGAGGUCACCAAGUAGGACUGCAUUAUUUGCUUCAAGCUACUAGGAUACAUCUGGUCAGCGAGUGGUUCAAUUCAUGGACGAUGCACUCGCUAUGAACAGGACCAUCGUGCUCACUGGUGGAGAGGUGAAGCAAGAGCCAAGAGGGGCACAAGUUGACAGUGGUGACGCUGGAUAUGAUGAAGAUCCAGAGACAUCUUGUAAAUUUUGGUUGGGCUACUUCAUUUGCAAGCUCAACAUUUUUCGCACAACACGUAAAAUAUUGAUACGUAAGCGAGAAAAAUUUUGUUCGAAUUUUUUUGACAUUUCAAAAUGUUAUUUCCGGUGGCAGGAGCAUAUAUUCCCAUGUGUCGAAUUGAAUUUAUAUUAGUUGACAUGCUUCUGUAACAUACAUUUUCUAUCAUGAGUACAAAGUAAUAUUAGCUUCAAAAUGGAGCAA